AUUGAACGCUGGCGGCAUGCCUUACACAUGCAAGUCGAACGGCAGCACGGGAGCAAUCCUGGUGGCGAGUGGCGAACGGGUGAGUAAUAUAUCGGAACGUGCCCAGUAGUGGGGGAUAACUGCUCGAAAGAGCGGCUAAUACCGCAUACGACCUGAGGGUGAAAGGGGGGGAUCGCAAGACCUCUCGCUAUUGGAGCGGCCGAUAUCAGAUUAGCUAGUUGGUGGGGUAAAGGCCUACCAAGGCAACGAUCUGUAGUUGGUCUGAGAGGACGACCAGCACGACUGGGACUGAGACACGGCCCAGACUCCUACGGGAGGAAGCAGUGGGGAAUUUUUGACAAUGGGCGCAAGCCUGAUCCAGUAAUGCCGCGUGCAGGAAGAAGGCCUUCGGGUUGUAAACUGCUUUUGUCAGGGAAGAAAUCCUCUAGGUUAAUACCCUUGGGGGGAUGACGGUACCUGAAGAAUAAGCACCGGCUAACUACGUGCCAGCCGCCGCCGUAAAAC
rnacentral:rRNA from 1 species